GUGCCAGCCGCCGCGGUAAGACAGAGGGUGCAAACGUUGCUCGGAAUCACUGGGCGUAAAGGGCGUGUAGGCGGGAGAGAAAGUCGGGCGUGAAAUCCCUGGGCUCAACCCAGGAACUGCACUCGAAACUUCCCUUCUUGAGUGCCGGAGAGGAAAGCGGAAUACCUGGUGUAGAGGUGAAAUUCGUAGAUAUCAGGUGGAACACCAGUGGCGAAGGCGGCUUUCUGGACGGUAACUGACGCUGAGACGCGAAAGCGUGGGGAGCAAACAGGAUUAGAUACCCGUGUAGUCC
rnacentral:rRNA from 1 species